AUUGAACGCUGGCGGAAUGCUUUACACAUGCAAGUCGAACGGUAGAGGGGGCAACCCCUUGAGAGUGGCGAACGGGUGAGUAAUAUAUCGGAACGUGCCCAGUCGUGGGGGAUAACGUAGUGAAAAUUACGCUAAUACCGCAUACGAUCUAAGGAUGAAAGCGGGGGAUCGCAAGACCUCGCGCGACUGGAGCGGCCGAUAUCAGAUUAGGUAGUUGGUAGGGUAAAGGCCUACCAAGCCAACGAUCUGUAGCUGGUCUGAGAGGACGACCAGCCACACUGGAACUGAGACACGGUCCAGACUCCUACGGGAGGCAGCAGUGGGGAAUUUUGGACAAUGGGCGAAAGCCUGAUCCAGCCAUUCCGCGUGCAGGAUGAAGGCCCUCGGGUUGUAAACUGCUUUUGUACAGAACGAAAAGGUUUCUAUUAAUACUAGGAGCUCAUGACGGUACUGUAAGAAUAAGCACCGGCUAACUACGUGCCAGCAGCCGCGGUAAUACGUAGGGUGCAAGCGUUAAUCGGAAUUACUGGGCGUAAAGCGUGCGCAGGCGGUUAUAUAAGUCAGAUGUGAAAUCCCCGGGCUCAACCUGGGAACUGCAUUUGAGACUGUAUAGCUAGAGUACGGUAGAGGGGGAUGGAAUUCCGCGUGUAGCAGUGAAAUGCGUAGAUAUGCGGAGGAACACCGAUGGCGAAGGC
rnacentral:rRNA from 1 species